rnacentral:rRNA from 1 species
UCCAUGCCGUAAACGAUGGGUACUAGGUGUUGGAGGAUUCUACCCCUUCAGUGCCGCAGCUAACGCAUUAAGUACCCCACCUGGGGAGUACGAUCGCAAGGUUGAAACUCAAAGGAAUUGACGGGGGCCCGCACAAGCGGUGGAGCAUGUGGUUUAAUUCGAUGCAACGCGAAGAACCUUACCUGGGCUUGACAUGCAGGGGACAGAUGUAGAAAUACAUCCUUCUUCGGACUCCUGUACAGGUGCUGCAUGGCUGUCGUCAGCUCGUGUCGUGAAAUGUUGGGUUAAGUCCCG